rnacentral:rRNA from 1 species
AGUAAUACAUCGGAACAUACCCUAGGGUGGGGGAGUAACGUAGCGAAAGUUACGCUAAUACCGCAUACGCACUAAGGUGGAAAGCAGGGGAUCGCAAGACCUUGCGCUCUUGGAGUGGCCGAUGUCAGAUUAGCUAGUUGGUGGGGUAAAGGCCUACCAAGGCAACGAUCUGUAGCUGGUCUGAGAGGACGACCAGCCACACUGGAACUGAGACACGGUCCAG